AGGGGGGGGGGGGGGUAGGGGGAGGAGAGGCAAGUCGAAGGGCGGAACAGUAAGAGGUUGGUCUUACGGGGGAGGGGGGGCGGACGGGGAAGGAAUACAUCGGAAUCUACUUUUUCGUGGGGGAUCAAGGAGGGAAACUUACGCUAAUACGGCAUACGGCGUACGCGUGGAAGGAGGGGCACGUCCGACCUUGCGCGAUUGCAUGAGCCGAUGUCGGCUUAGCGAGUUGGCGGGGUAAAGGCCCACGAAGGCGACUGUCCGUAGCUGGUCUGAGAGGAUGAUCAGCCACACUGGAACUGAGACACGGUCCAGACUCCUACGGGAGGCAGCAGUGGGGAAUAUUGGACAAUGGGCGCAAGCCUGAUCCAGCCAUACCGCGUGGGUGAAGAAGGCCUUCGGGUUGUAAAGCCCUUUUGUUGGGAAAGAAAAGCAGCAGGUUAAUACCCCGCUGUUCUGACGGUACCCAAAGAAUAAGCACCGGCUAACUUCGUG
rnacentral:rRNA from 1 species